AAUGUACUGUGAACCCCAAGUGUGAGAAUCAUUUUAUCUUUCUUUGGCAGGGCAGUUGUGCACCCCUGGACUCCUAUUCUAUAGGAGACAGACAGUGCUGGGUGGUGAAGCUGGGACUCAGCAAGGGCAUGGUGACCAUGGAGUCCGUGAAGCCCCUCCCACCUGCUCCUUCUCAGAACGUCAGGCUCUGGGCAGGGUUCACCUGCUACCAGAUAUCUGAAGGCAGAGAUUCCAAGCUUGUGUUGUCCUGGGCAUCCCAUGGCUGAAGACCCCAGACCUUUCCAUGAUGAAGAGGACUCAGUCUCUUCAAGACUCAGUCUCAGUCAAGAGAAACAACAUCUAAUAUUAAAAACAUGAACCUUAGUUGUGGUGGUUUGAGUAAGAAUGGCUUCAUAGACUAAUGUAUUUGAAUUCUUGGUCAUCAGGGAGUGACAUUAGGAGGCGUGGCUUUGAUAGAGUAGGUGUGGACCUAUUGGAGGAAGUGUACCACUGUAGGUGGGCACAGGGGUUUAAAAUGUUCAAGUUAGGCCCUAAGCUCUCUCCCUGCCGCUUGUGGAUCCAGAUGUAGAACUUGCAGCUCCCUCUAUAGCACUAUGUCUGUCUGCAUACUGACAUAUUUUCCACUCUGCUGAUGACGGACUGAACCGCUGAUCUGUAAGCCAGCUCCAAUGAAAUGUUGUCCUUUAUACAA
ensembl:lincRNA Gm12962 predicted gene 12962